UUCAUUUUAUAACCAUUCGUGCUCGCGAGCGCUCUCCCCCGCUAUUUAAUAACAGGCGAGCCGUGCUUUUGCAUUUGCAGCUGACCAACUCCAAUCCAGAGAGACUUGCCAGUCAGUUGUCUUCUUCCUCCCACCAACACCCCUAACCCAAAAGAUUUCCAUUUGCUUGUAUCAAUGGCUCCAGUUGCAGCAGAAGCAUGUUCUGAUUCAAUCAAGCCGAGAGAUGUUUACAUUGUUGGUGUUGCAAGAACACCAAUGGGUGGUUUUCUGGGUGCACUUUCAUCUGUACCUGCCACCAAGCUUGGGUCUAUAGCUAUUGGGGCUGCUCUCAAGAGGGCAAAUGUUGAUCCAGCACUUGUAGAAGAAGUUUUCUUCGGCAAUGUUCUCAGUGCAAACUUGGGGCAGGCCCCUGCUAGACAAGCUGCACUAGGUGCAGGACUCCCUAAUUCAGUGAUCUGUACCACUGUUAACAAAGUCUGCGCAUCAGGGUUGAAAGCUACUAUGCUCGCAGCACAGAGCAUUCAGUUGGGUAUCAAUGACGUUGUUGUGGCUGGUGGCAUGGAAAGCAUGUCUAACGUGCCCAAGUAUUUUGCCGAAGCAAGGAAGGGUUCUCGACUUGGACAUGAUUCUCUUGUUGAUGGAAUGCUGAAGGACGGUUUGUGGGAUGUCUACAAUGAUUAUGGCAUGGGAGUGUGCGCUGAAUUAUGUGCUGAGCAGCAUUCAGUGACAAGGGAGGAGCAGGAUAACUUUGCUGUUCAGAGCUUCGAGCGUGGUAUUGCUGCCCAAGGCUGUGAUGCCUUUUCAUGGGAAAUUGUUCCGGUUGAAGUUUCUGGAGGAAGGGGAAGGCCAUCAACAAUUGUUGAUAAGGAUGAAGGUCUAGGCAAGUUUGACGCUGCCAAUUGCGGAAGCUCCGACCAAGUUUUAAGGAGAGUGGAGGUUCUGUUACUGCCGGAAAUGCUUCUAGUAUCAGUGAUGGUGCUGCAGCAUUAGUUUUAGCAAGUGGAGAAAAGGUAUUAAAGCUUGGGCUACAAGUGAUUGCAAAGAUCAGUGGAUUCGCCGAUGCUGCUCAGGCACCAGAACUAUUUACAACAGCUCCGGCUCUUGCGAUUCCAAAAGCUAUUUCAAAUGCUGGGUUGGAAGCUUCUCAAAUUGACUUCUAUGAAAUUAAUGAAGCGUUUGCUGUUGUGGCUCUUGCAAAUCAGAAACUUCUUGGACUUAACCCAGAAAAAGUUAAUGUGCAUGGUGGAGCUGUAGCAUUGGGACAUCCUCUUGGUUGCAGUGGAGCUCGUAUCUUGGUCACCCUUUUAGGGGUACUGAAGCAGAAGAACGGGAAAUACGGUGCUGCUGGUAUUUGCAACGGUGGAGGAGGUGCAUCUGCCCUUGUUUUGGAGCUUUUGUAAGCCAUUUUCAAGUCGAUAACUGGUCAGAAUGGCCGAGGUCGGACCUUGUUGGUGUGAGAGAUGAAACUGCCACUAGCAAAGUUCCCUGUUGUGCAUUUUUUCUUCCCCUUCGUUGUAUUUGAUUUGCUUCCCCAAUAAAUUACAGAAGGUGUUUAGAUUGUAGAAGUAUAUUCCCAAUACAGUUCAGUUUCACCAUUCCUCUCUCUCUCUCUCUCUCUCUCUCCUCUCUCUCUCUCUCUCUCUCUCUCCCUCUCUCUCUCUCUCUCUUUCUCAAUUGCUUAAAUGUUGUAUUGGGUUGGAUACUUGGAUGCGUGGUACUGAGCAAUAAUGUGGAGCUAAUGGCCUGUACGAACAAAAUUGAAAGGUAAAGUCGAAAUACGGACAUGCGGUAUACGUAAAUUAUUUUUUAUCUUUUA